UGUUAGCCUCUGCUACUUACAGUGACUGAA
rnacentral:piRNA from 1 species